rnacentral:rRNA from 1 species
UACGGGGGGAGCAAGCGUUGUUCGGAUUUACUGGGCGUAAAGGGCGCGUAGGCGGCCUGUGCAAGUCAGUUGUGAAAUCUCCGAGCCUAACUCGGAACGGUCAACUGAUACUGCUCGGCUAGAGUGCGGAAGGGGCAACUGGAAUUCUUGGUGUAGCGGUGAAAUGCGUAGAUAUCAAGAGGAACACCUGCGGCGAAGGCGGGUUGCUGGGCCGACACUGACGCUGAUGCGCGAAAGCUAGGGGAGCGAACGGG